AGAUUCUGCUGCUGUGAACCUUACCGUCUGUCUGUCUGCAUGGCAGGAGGGGAGGAGAGGAAGGAUAGGGGGAGAAGAGGUAGAGAGGAGGAAUGGAGGGAGUAAGUGGGAAAAGAGAGGAGGCAGAGGGCUGGAGGGAGAGGAGAGCGAGGGAGAAUAGAGAUGUAGGGAGAGGGGAGGACCAGGGAGAUAGAGAGGGGAGAGUCGUUUUUUUACACAGACGCUCUCUAUCUUCCCAUCUCUCUUUUCAAUUACCUCUCCUCUCAUGUCACGCUCUUUGUCAUUAUCUGUUUCUCCUCUCUGCCAGAAUCUCUUUCCUUAUCCUCCUCUCUCUUGCUCUUUUCAUCAGCAUCUUACUCUCCUCUCUUUCUCUUCCCUCUAUACCUGCAUCUCUUCACCUCUUUCUCUCUUUUUCAGAAUGUCUUCCCUCUUUCUCAUCGCCCCUUACUCUCUCUAUUCUUUCUUUCCCCCUUCACUCGCUCACUUCUCCCUUCGCUCCCUCUGUUCUUUGUCUGACACAUCCCUCUCUCCCCUGCCAGACCCCCAGCUGUGACUGCUCCGGCUUGGCAACAGUUGUCAUGGAAACAGUCCUCUUAGCUCGUUACCAUGCGGCAGGUUUUGUUUUAUUGUUUUUACUUCCUGUUUUCCCCUAAUUAUACAGCAGCAUAUUAUGUGUUCUAGUGUUCUGGAACAGUCCUCAGUGUUCCACUGACAGGAACACAUUACAUCACCCUGGCAGAUACAUGCAGAAGACAGCAGCUUUUCAUUUUUUCCAGCUUUGCUGAUUCAUGAUUGAAAAGCAUCUUAUCAAAUGUAAUAAUAAGUGAAACAAAAAAACAAUCAUCCCAGAACGUUCUGAAUAAUUUCUGAAUAAUUUCAAUGAUAAAUUACAUUUCAUAACUUUGGGAAUAAUUUAAUAUAUAGAAUUGCCCCACAACAAAAUUGCAAGGAGCUAUCCGUAGAGCUCCGAUAUUUGUGAUGAGGCCUAUGUCUGGGGAAUGGUAUAAAGCAUUUUCUAGAGUGUUGAAAGUUUCCAAGAGCACAGUGGUCUCCAAAACAAUAUGAAACUACCCAGACGCUGCCUAGAGCUGGCUGUCUAACCAAAUUGAGCAACCAGGCAAAAAGGACCUUGGUCAGGGACGUGACCAUUGACAGAACUGCAGAGUUCCUUGACUGAGAUGUGAGAACCUGCCAGAAGGACAACAGACUCUACAGAACUUCACCAAUCUGGGCUUCAUGGGAGAGUGGCCAGAUGGAAGCCACUGCUACGAGCUCCGUGCAGCGGGACUCUGACAGAACAGAACCAUCUCCCAUAUCAGGAGAGGCCCAGGCCCCGGCCCGAGCACCGGCCCCCAGGGUGGGGGUGGGAGUGAGACAGCAACAGCAGCGUGUGAGGCGGAGACAGUGGGUGAGGCACGGGGCGUGCGGGCGGCUCUGAGGAAGACUAUGUCCGUUGACGACCGUCUGAUGCAGCCGGCGACCAGAGAACAGCAACGGCAGCACAGACUACUCAGCAAGAUGAAACUCAGGAACAUACAUAUCUAUCCACUGCCUUCGACACUGUGAACUAUCAGAUCCUCCUUUCCACCCUCUCAGGGCUGGGCAUCUCAGGCUCUGCACACUCUUGAAUUGCAUCCUACCUGGCAGGCCACUCCUACCAGGUGGCGGCACGCAUCUCUGCAUGCCUGGCAGGUAUCUCAGCUUGGAUGUCGGCCCACCACCUCAAUCUCAACCUCGACAAGACGGAGCUGCUAUUCCUCCCGGGGAAGGCCUGCCCGCACAAACACCUCUCCAAGGUUGACAACUCCACGGUGUCACCCUCCAUGAGUGCAAAGAACCUUGGCGUGACCCUGGACGAUACCCUGUCAUCCUCUGCAAACAUCAAAUCAGUGACUCGCUCCUGCAGGUUCAUGCUCUACAAUAUCCGUAGAGUACGACCCAUACCUCACACAGGAUGUGGCGCAGGUCCUAAUCCCCCCCCUUUCUGGCUCUCACUUUACUGAUGGCUACUUUAUUGAGGAAAAGUGUACUUACUAUGCCUGUGAUAUGUGGUUGUCCCACGUAGCUAUCUUAAGAUGAAUAUAUUAACUGUAAGUCGCUCUGGAUAAGAGCGCCUGCUUAUUGACUAAAAUGGAAGAGCAGGUGUUCCUAAUGUUUUCUACACUCAGUGUAUGUACUGGCUUUCUGUGUUCUGCCUAGAGAUUACAUUUGUUCUAUAAUAGAUUGAAAAUGGCUCUUUCACAAUUUACUUUCUGUGAAUCAUUGCAUCCUCUGUCCUCGCUUCCUUCUCAAUCAUAUUGGAGUAGAAGGUCCAAGGGUUCUUCAUUCUGACCUUCUUCUCCAAUGGGUUUUGAAAAGGAGGUGAGGAGAUGAAUUGAGGAAGCUAUACCAGUGUUUUCCCUGUACAUGGAGUUGCCAGCCAGGGAGUUCCAGGCUGGGGGUGUCCGGGCGAAGGUAGGCCCCCCGUGAAGAAAAAUAUACAGUUGAAGUCGGAAGUUUACAUACACCUUAGCCAAAUACAUUUCAACUCAGUUUUUCACAAUUCCUGACAUUUAAUCCUAGUAAAAAUUCCCUGUUUUAGGUCAGUUAGGAUCACCACUUUAUUUUAAGAAUGUGAAAUGUCAGAAUGAUAGUAGAGAGAAUGAUUUAUUUCAGCUUUUAUUUCUUUCAUCACAUUCCCAGUGGGUCAGAAGUUUACAUACACUCAAUUAGUAUUUGGUAGCAUUGCCUUUAAAUUGUUUAACUUGGGUCAAACGUUUCGGGUAGCCUUCCACAAGCUUCCCACAAUAAAUUGGAUGAAUUUUGGCCCAUUCCUCCUGACAGAGCUGGUGUAACUGAAUCAGGUUUGUAGGCCUCCUUGCUCGCACAUGCUUUUUCAGUUCUGCCCACAAAUGUUCUAUAGGAUUGAGGUCAGGGCUUUGUGAUGGCCACUCCAAUACCUUGACUUUGUUGUUCUUAAACCAUUUUGCCACAACUUUGGAAGUAUGCUUGGGGUCAUUGUCCAUUUGGAAGACCCAUUUGCGACCAAGCUUUAACUUCCUGACUGAUGUCUUGAGAUGUUGGUUCAAUAUAUCCACAUAAUUUUCAUUCCUCAUGAUGACAUCUAUUUGUGAAGUGCACCUGUCCCUCCUGCAGCAAAGCACCCCCACAACAUGAUGCUGCCACCCCCAUGCUUCACGGUUGGGAUGGUGUUCUUCAGCUUGCAAGCCUCCCCCUUUUUCCUCCAAACAUAACGAUGGUCAUUACGACCAAACAGUUCUAUUUUUGUUUCAUCAGACUAGGGGACAUUUCUCCAAAAUGUAUAUUUGUCCCUAUGUGCAGUUGCAAACCAUAGUCUGGCUUUUUUAUGGCAGUUUUGGAGCAGUGGCUUCUUCCUUGCUGAGCGGCCUUUCAGGUUAUGUCGAUAUAGGACUUGUUUUACUGUGGAUAUAGAUACUUUUGUACCUGUUUCCUCCAGCAUUUUCACAACGUCCUUUGCUGUUGUUCUGGGAUUGAUUUGCACUUUUCGCACCAAAGUACGUUCAUCUCUAGGAGACCUAACGCAUCUCCUUCCUGAGUGGUAUGACGGCUGCGUGGUCCCAUGGUGUUUAUACUUGUGUACUAUUGUUUGAACAGAUGAACAUGGUACCUUCAGGCAUUUGGAAAUUCCUCCCAAGGAUGAACCAGACUUGUGGAGGUCUACAAAAAAAAUUCUGAGGUCUUGGCUGAUUUCUUUAGAUUUUCCUAUAAUGUCAAGCAAAGAGGCACUGCGUUUGAAGGUAGGCCUUGAAAUACAUCCACUGGUACACCUCCAAUUGACUCAAAUUAUGUCAAUUAGCCUAUCAGAAGAUUCUAAAGCCAUGACAUCAUUUUCUGGAAUUUUCCAAGCUGUUUAAAGGCACAGUCAACUUAGUGUAUGUAAACUUCUGGGAUUGUGAUACAGUGAAUUAUAAGUGAAAUAAUCUGUCUGUAAGUAAUUGUUGGAAAAAUUAUUUGUGUCAUGCACAAUUGUCCUAACCGACUUGCCAAAACUAUAGUUUGUUAACAAGAAAUUUGUGGAGUGGUUGAAAAACAAGUUUUAAUGACUCCAACUUAAGUCUAUGUAAACUUCCGACUUCAACUGUAAGUAUCAUUAGCUUUUAUAAUCUUCAGUCUGUUUUCUUUUAUCAUAUGUUGGACCAGAGUGAGGCUCUCUCUCCAGUACCUAUUGUUCCUGCAGUGACGAGUCAACGUCUUCAUCGAAUAUUUUCAUAAUUUAUCUGUAGAUAAUCACCGAAAAGCAGUAGUAGCGUACCAGUAUGCAAGUUAGGGAGCCAAAUUAACGUCACUCCCAACGAUGCGUUUCGGUUCCUGACGUUCACCUAAAAGAGCCGUUCAAAAAGAGCCGUUCGCUCGGGAACAACCCAUCACUAGGCUACACUGACAAGUCACUUUAGCAAUCACGGCCAGGCCUCGACAAAACGCUUUGAAUUCUUGGAAAAUACGAACAAGAUUUUUGGUUUACAUGUCCCGAUACCAUGGACAUAUAACUACGUUGUAUGAAUUGUGAAUUGAAAAUGUACAGUAUAUAGGAGAUUGACUUUAUUCAGUCAGUUCGACACCUUUCAUAAACAAGCCAACACUUACUGUUCGGCCAUCAGUCAAAGCACAGUAAAUGGCCUAUGCUCCCCGACUCCAAGGCUUGCUACAGUGUAUAUGAAACGUGAGAAAGAAAAUAAAUGAAUGUGCCACAUAACAAUAAUAAAGUGGAUUUCAACUCAUCAUUACCACUUACAUUACAUGGGACAUGUAAAUCCCCUCACAGGAGACGAUGAAGAAGCAUCCGUGAAUAGUUAUUUUGUUGUUGACUGCAGCCAAUCACAGUGUACAAAAAUAACACAGGUACCAAGAGGCGG
rnacentral:lncRNA from 1 species